UCUGAUAUCCUGAUAUGCAUGGGGUUACGUUUCGGCCGUAAUUGUGGGCAGCAUUGCUCUAUCAGAG
rnacentral:tRNA from 1 species